UACAGAGGUCUCAAGCGUUGUUCGGAUUCAUUGGGCGUAAAGGGUGCGUAGGUGGCGCCGUAAGUCGGGUGUGAAAUUUCGGAGCUUAACUCCGAAACUGCAUUCGAUACUGCGGUGCUUGAGGACUGGAGAGGAGACUGGAAAUUCAUGGUGUAGCAGUGAAAUGCGUAGAGAUCAUGAGGAAGACCAGUGGCGAAGGCGGCUCACUGGCCCGAUACUGACGCUGAGGCACGAAAGCGUGGGGAGCAAACAGG
rnacentral:rRNA from 1 species